rnacentral:rRNA from 1 species
GAUGAACGCUGGCGGCGUGCCUAAUACAUGCAAGUCGAGCGAACAGACGAGGAGCUUGCUCCUCUGACGUUAGCGGCGGACGGGUGAGUAACACGUGGAUAACCUACCUAUAAGACUGGGAUAACUUCGGGAAACCGGAGCUAAUACCGGAUAAUAUAUUGAACCGCAUGGUUCAAUAGUGAAAGACGGUUUUGCUGUCACUUAUAGAUGGAUCCGCGCCGCAUUAGCUAGUUGGUAAGGUAACGGCUUACCAAGGCAACGAUGCGUAGCCGACCUGAGAGGGUGAUCGGCCACACUGGAACUGAGACACGGUCCAGACUCCUACGGGAGGCAGCAGUAGGGAAUCUUCCGCAAUGGGCGAAAGCCUGACGGAGCAACGCCGCGUGAGUGAUGAAGGUCUUCGGAUCGUAAAACUCUGUUAUUAGGGAAGAACAAAUGUGUAAGUAACUAUGCACGUCUUGACGGUACCUAAUCAGAAAGCCACAGCUAACUACGGG